CCUACGGGUGGCAGCAGUGAGGAAUAUUGGUCAAUGGGCGCGAGCCUGAACCAGCCAAGUAGCGUGAAGGAUGACUGCCCUACGGGUUGUAAACUUCUUUUAUAAAGGAAUAAAGUGAGCCACGUGUGCCUUUUUGUAUGUACUUUAUGAAUAAGGAUCGGCUAACUCCGUGCCAGCAGCCGCGGUAAUACGGAGGAGCCGAGGGUUAGCCGGAUUUAUUGGGUUUAAAGGGAGCGUAGGUGGGUUGUUAAGUCAGUUGUGAAAUUUUGCGGCUCAACCGUAAAAUUGCAAUUGAUACUGGAUGUCUUGAGUACAUGUGAGGUAGGCGGAAUGCGUGGUGUAGCGGUGAAAUGCGUAGAUAUCACGAAGAACUCCGAUUGCGAAGGCAGCUUACUAAACUGCCACUGACAUUGAUGCUCGAAAGCGUGGGUAUCAAACAGGAUUAGAUACCCUAGUAGUC
rnacentral:rRNA from 1 species